rnacentral:rRNA from 1 species
CAGUCGCCGCGGUAAUACGAAGGUCCCGAGCGUUGUUCAGAAUCACUGGGCGUAAAGGGAGCGUAGGCGGCGUGGUAAGUCAGAUGUGAAAUCCCGGGGCUCAACCCCGGAACUGCAUCCGAUACUGCCAUGCUAGAGGAUUGGAGAGGUAGCUGGAAUUCUUGGUGUAGCAGUGAAAUGCGUGGAGAUCAAGAGGAACACUCGUGGCGAAAGCGAGCUACUGGACAAUAACUGACGCUGAGGCUCGAAGGCCAGGGUAGCGAAAGGGAUUAGAUACCCCGGUAGUCCCUGUCUCUUAUAC